rnacentral:rRNA from 1 species
UACGAAGGGGGCUAGCGUUGCUCGGAAUCACUGGGCGUAAAGGGUGUGUAGGCGGGUCUUUAAGUCAGGGGUGAAAUCCUGGAGCUCAACUCCAGAACUGCCUUUGAUACUGAAGAUCUUUGAGUUCGGGAGAGGUGAGUGGAACUGCGAGUGUAGAGGUGAAAAUUGUAGAUAUUCGCAAGAACACCAGUGGCGAAAGGGCGGCUCACUGGCCCCGAAACUG